ensembl:processed_transcript 4930511M06Rik RIKEN cDNA 4930511M06 gene
AGUGGUAGCAGCCACAAGCUUGUCACCAGACCCGACUCUCCUGACGAACCCGUGGAACACCUGUAACCUUCAAUAACCCGUUUUUCUCUCCAUUAUAAUGAGAAGGGGCCUAUUGAUUGAUUCCAAAGAUAAGGAAGGGAUUAAAGUGGUGACGUCAUUCUCCUGGUCUGUUUCGGCUUUCACUGCACAGUGAAAAGUCCUGGUUUCCUUAGCUCUGCACAGAAGAGAACUGACCCAGAGGAAACAGUUCCAACUUUUUCAACAACCCAGAGGAUGAAUGUAGAAGAAAUUGGUCUGGGAAUGAGUGAAGAACAACUGGAAGAAAAAGAAGAAAGGCUGAUCUGGCGCACGGAGAGAAAGGGUGAUGGCUUCGCAGUUCCCCACUCUGAGAAGAAAGUCAGCUCCGUGAAGGCAGCCACUAAGCAGCCCCUUCAUUUCCUUAGCUCUCCAUGAGUACAGAUAACGCAGCACAUUAAUCAGAAUCAGCAAGCAUACUUUAAAGUAACCAAUUUUCUCUGAGAGCUGACCUAACAUAAACAUCUCAGCUAUCAUCGAGAGGUUCCGGAGCUGUUAUCGCCAGCAGCUAGUUUCAAUUUAACUAAAGUAUUGAGAUACAUUAUGCUUAUGCCGAUGUGCUCGGCUCUGCUGCAGAGGCUGAGGACAACCCAGUCCAAGCCUUCCCUUGAACUCUGUUAUCCUUAAACUGUCUGCCUCGGGGCUCCCCAACUCUCACAACCUCUCAUUCAGAGAGUGCAGUCACCAAAGGACCACUCAUCCCUUGGUGGGGGGCAAUGGUGGAUAACUGUUCUAAUGUUUUGGGAGGAGAGCCCCUCUUGAGAAAAUCUUUACCAAUUUUCAAUUUUCAUCAAUUAAAGUGCGUUCCUCAAG